AGUGACAGAUUUGGUUUC
rnacentral:snRNA from 1 species